rnacentral:rRNA from 1 species
AUUGAACGCUGGCGGCAUGCUUUACACAUGCAAGUCGAACGGCAGCACGGGAGCUUGCUCCUGGUGGCGAGUGGCGAACGGGUGAGUAAUGCAUCGGAACGUACCCAGUAGUGGGGGAUAGCCCGGCGAAAGCCGGAUUAAUACCGCAUAUUUCCUGAGGGAGAAAGCGGGGGGACCUUCGGGCCUCGCGCUACUGGAGCGGCUGAUGUCGGAUUAGCUAGUUGGUGAGGUAAAGGCUCACCAAGGCGACGAUCCGUAGCGGGUCUGAGAGGAUGAUCCGCCACACUGGGACUGAGACACGGCCCAGACUCCUACGGGAGGCAGCAGUGGGGAAUUUUGGGACAAUGGGCGAAAGCCUGAUCCAGCCAUGCCGCGUGAGUGAAGAAGGCCUU